rnacentral:rRNA from 1 species
CCUACGGGUGGCUGCAGUGAGGAAUAUUGGUCAAUGGGCGGGAGCCUGAACCAGCCAAGCCGCGUGAGGGAAGAAGGUACAGCGUAUCGUAAACCUCUUUUGUCAGGGAACAAAGGCGGGGACUAGUCCCCGGAUGAGGGUACCUGAAGAAAAAGCAUCGGCUAACUCCGUGCCAGCAGCCGCGGUAAUACGGAGGAUGCGAGCGUUAUCCGGAUUUAUGGGGGUAAAAGGGUGGGCAGGCGGCCUGUUAAGUCAGCGGGAAAAGCCCGGGGCUAAACCCCGGCGAGCCGUUGAAACUGGGGGGCUGGAGUUGGAGAGAGGUAGGCGGAAGGCGCGGUGUAGCGGUGAAAUGCUUAGAUAUCG